CAGCUACAGUGUACUCAUAUGAAUAAAUUCUAAAAAACCCCUAAAACACAAGCCUCCCUCAAGAGCGCUUGGACCCGUACACAGGUGUGCUUGUGGAUAACAGUGCCAGGCAAGCCGCCAAGAAUCCAUGCAUUAUUGACCUUCAGGUGGUUUUAGCGGAGCCACUGGACCUUGGCUAAUUAUGGGAUUCAGGAAAUCUGAGACCAACUCUCUGAGGCCUGGUACCGAAUCCCACGGUGGGAAAGUCAUCUUCCAAGUGCAGACAAAAGAGCCUACAGAAGCACUUGGGCUUUAAUAAAAGAGGAUGCUAGCCCAGAGUAAUCCAAGAAAUCCCCUGAUUUCAAGCUGCCCUUUUAUCUGCCAACUUUUUUUUUUUUUUAAUCUUAAAAUUAAUCCUGGCCUGGUUUUAAAAGGAAAGAAAGCCAAAGCGGCCUUUUUGUGAGAACAUGCUCCUCGCUGGUCGGAGAUAACGGAUUAUGCACAAAACCCAGUGGCUCUAAAUGAUUAGGUCUGCUGUGUUACAGCUUCAAAUAGGUUGGGGGGAGGAGGGGAAAUCAAUCAGAAUGGAAGUAAGAUCAAGAAAUAUUUCAGAACCACAGAGCCAAGUCCCCUUUCUGUCUCCCUUUCAGCUGAGUGAGAAAGAAGAGAGAGAACACACUUUACAUCUACAUCUACAGACCAAAUAACACCAGGAUUCAGAGCGGGCUACAGAUCUAAGGCAGCUGGGCAUCUGCCAUGAAAGAGAAA
rnacentral:sRNA from 1 species